GAGAGAGGGAGGGAGGGAGAGAGACUUCACUGUUCAUUUUUUACCCUCUUUUAGUCCGCCUGUCAGUGGGAAGUCAGUCAGCCUAGAAGGGGCUAGGAAGCUACUCAAUUCACCUCAACUGCCUGAACAACAGAUAAGAGGUGUGUUUGUGUGUGUGUGUUUUUAAAGAGAAUAUUCUGGUCUCCUGAUCCCCUGCUGUCUGUCCUCAUUUCCUCUCACACACACACACACACACACACACCCCACAACCCAUCCCUGCAUUUACAGAGCCGAGUAUGAAGUGUAAAAUGGAAAGUAGGAGUGUGUGUGUCUCUGCGUGUGUGUGUUCCAAGGCUCUGAGAGUUCCAAGGCUCUGUGUGUUCCAAGGCUCUGUGUGUUCCAAGGCUCUGAGAGUUCCAAGGCUCUGAGAGUUCCAAGGCUCUGAGAGUUCCAAGGCUCUGAGAGUUCCAAGGCUCUGAGAGUUCCAAGGCUCUCAGAGUGUCUCUGCUGUACACAUAGUAAACUCAGACAGAGAGAGAGCCAGGCUUCAUG
ensembl:lncRNA